ACCACCUCAGAGGCCAUGGCUCCGGGCAGCCCGUGUUGAGUCCAGAUAAAAGUAGCAGAGGAUUGUCUCUACGGUUUCUCUUGCAUCCCACACUCCUGCGCUCUGUCAAAGCAGCUGACAUCAAACUGGUGCGCUCCUGCAAACGGCCACAUCAGCUCUCCCUGAUGACACCCGGACUCCCGUGAUUAUUCCACAGUGAAAGAUUGCGCACAUGCAUACCAAGGAGGCUACCGGACCAGCUUGUGAUUGACACCUGAUUCAGCCAAUCAAAAGUCUUCCGUCUUGUAACCGGUCCAGCCCCCUGUGAUAAUUGGAAGCAAGAGGUCUGCUGUCCAGCUGUUUAUCAGAGAGAAACAGCGACGCCUACUGGUCGGAGAGCAGCCUGCAAAAGCAGUAC